rnacentral:lncRNA from 1 species
UUUAGACUCAUAAUGUGGAUUCGCACAGUAUCUUAGCUUCUUUUCUUUUCUUUUCCUAUUCUCCUGAUUUUUGUUUCCAGGUUGUUUGCAAGAGAUACGACAGGGUAAAGGGAGAGAAAGCAAGAAAGGACAGUGUUCCAUGAAAAGAGGAGAGGAGAUCUAGAAAACACUAUAAUCAAAUUCGUCCUUUAGGUGCUUUUAUUGAAAAAAUAACACAACACAGGCAGAAACGAGGGAUUGGUUGCAGAAUUUCAGGAAAAGCAAGCAAGAAAGGAUCAUGAAAAGAGGAAAAGAAAAAAGAAAAGGAAGAGAUUGGAAAACAAUGUUCCAGAGAUCGUGCCUUUACUAUUGUGCGCACUGUGGACUGCUGCAGUUGGUGGAGUUAGGCUAUAAAUCUUUUGCUCUUUUGAUUGCUUUCUCCUUUUGUUCUCUCGACAAGGAAAAAGAAGCCGUGCGCUUUUGAUCCACCAGACCGUUUUCUUUCUUUUCCUCCCCCCCUUUCUCUCCUCUCUCUCCAUUUUAUUUCUCCAGUUCCAUUGUGUUUUAUUGAUCAUUUUUCCUAUUUUUUGAUCGCAGAUAUGAUGCGAGGAAGACAUCGAGAAAGAAAGAGAUGGCUGGAGUCGCACUCGGAGAGGGGAAGGAUUGUUUCAGUUGAAAGAGGAAAUUGAUGAGAAACAGAGGUUUGCAAUGACUCUUCUAACCCUAAUUGAAAUGGAAAUUAACGGGCUUUGAUUGGUCAGAGAAGAAGAGAAAAGAACAAACGUGGCCAUUGAGUAAUUUGGUAUGUGCUGUACUUGCUGAAUGUGUUGAGCACAUGUUUAGUAUAUAAGUGUAACAGUGCGAGUUUACAAUUUAUUUAUGAGCACAUAUCACCAUUUUUACGUUACAAAUAGGAUUUCUACUAUAUAUAUAUAUAAAAAGACGAUACAUUUUCUAGUAUCAUACUUUUUUUAACUGAAAAAUAGGAAGAUGAUG